AAUGAAGUGCCUGAGCAAAGGAAUAUCUUGAUAGGGUAAAUAAUGUGGUACUUUAUCACCUUCAUUA
rnacentral:tRNA from 1 species